rnacentral:tRNA from 1 species
GGGGCUUUGGCGAAGUUGGGAUCGCGCCUGACUGGCAGUCAGGAGGUCAGGGGUUCAAGUCCCCUAAGCUCCA